CAUAUAUAGUCUAUCUAUACCACCACCUAUCAUGACCUAUGGCUAAUGAUCUGUACGUUGCUGCAGUGUUGUAUGCAGCUAAUUUUUGACUGAAAUCAAAUACUGUCUACACAUACAGAACUUGAUGGUACUCAGUCUGCUCCCUGGUAUUGCCAAAAAACUUACAGCUGUUUUCCUGUCUGCCCAGUUUGUUUACUGAUUAAAAUGUUAAUUAUUGCUAAAAUUAAUUAAAUUAUCAUAAGUAAUAGACCCCUCCCCAA